rnacentral:rRNA from 1 species
GAUAAACGCUGGCGGCGCACAUAAGACGUGCAAGUUGAACGGACUUAAUCGAAAUAUUUAUAUUUUGAAGCGGUUAGUGGCGGACUGGUGAGUAACGCGUAAGGAACCUGCCUAUUAGAGGGGAAUAACAGUGAGAAAUCAUUGCUAAUACCGCAUAUGCCAUAGAUAUCACAUGAUAACAGUGGGAAAGGAGCAAUCCGCUAAUAGAUGGCCUUGCGUCUGAUUAGAUAGUUGGUGGGGUAACGGCCUACCAAGUCGACGAUCAGUAGCCGGACUGAGAGGUUGAACGGCCACAUUGGGACUGAGAUACGGCCCAGACUCCUACGGGAGGCAGCAGUCGGGAAUAUUGCGCAAUGGAGGAAACUCUGUCGCAGUGACGCCGCGUAUAGGAAGAAGGUUUUCGGAUUGUAAACUAUUGUCGUUAGGGAAGAGAAAGGACAGUACCUAAGGAGGAAGCUCCGGCUAACUACGUG